CUUGUGUCACAGUGUUAUGUGUUCGGCGGAGGGACCCAGCUGACCGUCCUAGGUCAGCCCAAGUCUGCACCCUCCGUGUCUCUGUUCCCGCCAUCCGCUGAGGAGCUCAACAACAACAAGGCCACACUGGUGUGUCUCAUGAGUGACUUCUACCCGGGCAGCGUGACGGUGGCCUGGAAGGCAAAUGGCACCCCCGUCACCCAGGGCGUGGAGACCACCAAGCCCUCCAAGCAGAGCAACAACAAGUACGCGGCCAGCAGCUACCUGAGCGUGUCCAGCCAAGACUGGAAGUCCGCCAGCGCCUACAGCUGCCAGGUCACGCACGACGGGAAGACUGUGGAGAAGACAGUGGCCCCCUCAGAGUGCUCCUAGGACCUGAGUCCCCACUUCUGGAGACACUUCUCCGUCAGACCCUCCCUUCCCCCCCUCCCCACUGUCCCCCUGCAGCUCC